AGCAGCCGCGGUAAUUCCAGCUCCAAUAGCGUAUAUUAAAGUUGUUGCAGUUAAAAAGCUCGUAGUUGAAUUUCGGGAUUGACGUGAUGGUCGUGCCUUACGGGGUAUGAACUGUUGCUGUUGAUUUCUCACCUUCUGGAGAAACUUGAUGUCCUUAAUUGGGUGUCUUGCGGAUCCAGGACCUUUACCUUGAAAAAAUAAGAGUGUUUAAAGCAGGCAUUUUGCUCGAAUACAUUAGCAUGGAAUAAUAGAAUAGGACGGCAUGGUUCUAUUUUGUUGGUUUCUAGGAUCACCGUAAUGAUUAAUAGGGAUAGUUGGGGGCAUUAGUAUUCAAUUGUCAGAGGUGAAAUUCUUGGAUUUAUUGAAGACUAACUACUGCGAAAGCAUUUGCCAAGGAUGUUUUCAUUAAUCAAGAACGAAAGUUAGGGGAUCGAAGACGAUCAGAUACCGUCGUAGUCUUAACCAUAAACUAUGCCGACUAGGAAUCAGACGAUGUUAAUUUUUUAAUGACUCGUUUGGCACCUUACG
rnacentral:rRNA from 1 species